rnacentral:tRNA from 1 species
GGAAGGGGUGGUACAGCGUAGGUCUUCUAAACCUUUUGCUGGGCGGUUAAACUCCGUCCGCCUUUCG